CUCUGCCCGGCCGCCAUCCCAUCUAGGAAGCGAGGAGCGCCACUUCCCCGCCGCCAUCCCAUCUAGGAAGUGAGGAGCGUCUCUGCCCGGCCGCCCAUCGUCUGAGAGCUCACAAUUGGAUAUACUGGUUAUUUUACCAAGGCUUUAACUGGAAUGAUAUAUUUUUGGAUAUGACCAGACUGCUUUGAGCAAUUUAGGUUGUCUUCACAGAGCAAAUAAAAAGCCCCUUGGAAAGACUGGCUUGGUGCCUCAUCUACAUGGCUCCCUUACGAGGUUCCUGAUGAUCUUGUGGGUAGUUCAAUACACUGAAUGAUUGUAUAAGUGGGAAAAGUGGCAUCCCCCUUGUCCAGUUUCUAUAAGACUACCAUUGAAUAAAGGCCUCAAUCAACCAUCCAUACCUACUGCAGAUUCUUCUAGAUGCUGAUGUAUGCGGAACCCAGAAUUUCUAUUCUUGGCACCCAUAUAAGUAAAUUUUAUUUGUUCUGCAUUAUGUUCUAGUUUUCUUGAUAUAGCACUUUAAAAAAUCAUUUUCAUACAAAUUCAUAUGGUUUCUGCAAAUAUAAAUUAACUGUCUCUUGCAACUGUUUUGAUAUGUAAGCAAUGACACCCAAAUUCAGAUUUCAUUGUUGUCCCUUAGGGGUAUCCUAGUAUCUGACUCUAGUUAGGGGGUUAGAAUUAGUUAUACUGGCUAUGAGACUUCUGUUGAAUUGACAUUCUUUUAGGAGCUGUCUCAAGUAAGAGCUUUCUAGUAUCUUCAAACAAAAAAAAGGACUCACCUACUCAGACAGAAAGUCUAUUUUUUAAAGGACGCUUAGAGAGAUUUGUGGGGUUCAAGGUUAUUAUAUUUAUAAAGAUCUACCCAAAUUUACCCCUUUGAUUUCAGAGUCCCAUUACU
rnacentral:lncRNA from 10 species